CCUACGGGUGGCAGCAGUGAGGAAUAUUGGUCAAUGGCCGAGAGGCUGAACCAGCCAAGUCGCGUGAGGGCAGACUGCCCUACGGGUUGUAAACCUCUUUUGUCGGGGAGCAAAUCGAGUCACGUGUGACUCAUUGAGAGUACCCGAAGAAAAAGCAUCUGCUAACUCCGUGCCAGCAGCCGCGGUAAGAAGGAGGAUGAGAACGUUAUCCGGAUUUAUUUGUUUUAAAGGGUGCGCAGGCGGAGGUGCAAGUCAGCGGUCAAUGUGCGGGGCUCAACCCCGUACUGCCGUUGAAACUGCAUCACUUGAGUGCGCGAGAAGUAUGCGGAAUGCGUGGUGUAGCGGUGAAAUGCAUAGAUAUCACGCAGAACUACGAUUGCGAAGGCAGCAUAACGGCGCGCAACUGACGCUCAUGCACGAAAGCGUGGGUAUCGAACAGGAUUAGAUACCCUUGUAGUC
rnacentral:rRNA from 1 species